AUUUGUCCCUGUCUGUGAUUGGUCCGAAGAAAUUGUUUGGCCAAUCAAUGUACAAUGUCAUUUCACUGUGUAAUGACUAAUUUGCAUAAAAUUUAAGAAAUCUCAACUCUGUUCUGUUGCUCUGCCGCUUUGUCAAUUGUCGCUCUGUUGUGUUUCCCAACUCUGUGACCCAAGUGAACUACAAAUCCCAUAAUUCCAAGAGGUUGAUUAGUAAUCAGUGCAAACAAAGCACACCUGUUGGAACAGGUAAAUAAGGCCAUGGCAAGCAGCACACCCUGAAGCACCUUUGUAGAGGAGUGACCUGUUACAGAGGAUCAACACUACUAAAGAAAACUACAAACAGCAGACUGAUCCGAACCAGAGGAACAGCUUUCCUGCAAUUAACCAGCAGCUGAAGAAUAUUCCAGAUGACUCUGUGCUGAAGAGAGUCAUGAUGGAGCGUAGAGGAGGGAAAACCCUUAUCAUUAAUAUUCUAAACAGACGGUCAAUCAUCCUAUUAAGAGCUUGCAGGAACUUUGCAUACUUGGGGGCCGGUGGCGAUGCAUAGCCUGAGGAGCAGGAAGAGUCCGGUCUGUAAUCCGGGAGACGGGAAUAUCCGGACGGUGGGAUGAGAGCAUCUCUCCCGACCCGCCGAGACCCGUCAGCUCCUCUCAGAACAACACCUCCUCAACCAGACGAGCAGCAGAGCCUCCCGCUGCUCCCCAGCGCCGCUCCAUCACCCCUCACCUCCAUCACCUCCACCUUCACUCAACACCUGAAGCUCCACGCUCACUCCUCCUUAAUCAAUACCUCCUGCUCCCCCGCCGCCACGCACCGGCAUCCGUCAGUGCUUAAAGGUUCAAUCCAAUAUGCACCACUGUGAUCAUCGAUGUGUUUUCUCUCGCCUUCUUACACACACAC